rnacentral:lncRNA from 1 species
CUUCGUGCUCGUCUUCUCAUUAUCACCCAUCUUCUGGUUUCGGAAGCCAUAGCCUUCUUAAACGACCCAAGAGCCAGGUGUUUCGUGUCAAGGUACAAAUGUCUAGGCUUUUAGCUAAUUCUGUUCGAAAAUUGAAUACCCUUUUGGAAAUUGAGACUCUUGAGCCCAUUUCUGAUCUCUUCUCUUCCCACUUCAGAUGUUUAGAAAUUAGUCUAAAGUUUCAGUUUUUCGUUAGAUACGGUGCGGUGAUGCUAUGGAUUGAUUCAGUAUUGGAUGGUGAUGCUUUUGGCAAUAGUUUGAGUGUCUGAUGCGUGUUUGUGGUUUAGGUAGAUGAAAAUGUAGCCGAGACAGAGCCACCGAAAUGGUGGGAGAGGAAUGCCCCAAACAUGGUCGACAUUCAUUCUACUGAAGAGUUCUUGAGCGCUUUAAGCGGAGCGGGUGAUAGAUUAGUCAUUGUAGAGUUCUAUGGAACUUGGUGUGCUUCUUGCAGAGCAUUGUUCCCAAAGGUUAGUGUCAUGUGACGUAUCUGUUUCAUGAAACUAUAAGAGUUUCAUUUCUCUUUCGUGAUUCUGAGAGAAAUUUUAGAUGUUUUU